UACGUAGGGAGCAAGCGUUGUCCGGAAUCAUUGGGCGUAAAGCGCGCGUAGGUGGCCCCAUAAGUCCGCUGUGAAAGUCAAAGGCUCAACCUUUGAAAGCCGGUGGAUACUGUAGGACUAGAGUACGGAAGAGGCGAGUGGAAUUCCUGGUGUAGCGGUGGAAUGCGCAGAUAUCAGGAGGAACACCAAUAGCGAAGGCAGCUCGCUGGGACGUUACUGACACUGAGGCGCGAAAGCGUGGGGAGCGAACAGG
rnacentral:rRNA from 1 species